UGAAGUUUUAUUCUACACUAUAUAUAGGAAAAACCUCCAUUCUCACCACCAACUCUCCUCUCAGUUUUCACCUAAUAUCCUUUGUGGGUAUUGCUUCAAUUUCAAUCACAACCCCUCCUUGUUUGUUUGUUCUCCGUGAAACAAACAGCCGUAUGGCUCCCAAGACCACUCAUGGCCAAUAUGAUCACCCCAAGGUUCUUUUUGCCUCCUCCUUCCAGUUGCUUCAAUCGGUGGUGAGGUGGCGGGGAGGCGCCCUCCCAUGCCCUCCGGCCUUAGCACCUAACUUCAGCAGCAGACGAGACAGUUCGUGUUCUAAACCUAUGAUUAUACUGAUUUAAAAUGUUGGUUAAGUGGUGUACUCCACAACUAAAAGAUUGUAGAUUCAAAUCCUGUAGUGUGUGUGUGUGCAGACUUGAAUUUUCAAUUUUAAGCUUAUUCUUUCGGGGUUUAAAACGGGUGUGAUUUUCUUCAACUUAUGAUAUUUAGUUUAUCAUAUAAAGUUUACCUUUUUUUAUCAACAUUCACCGCUCAAUUAGUAAAGGUGGUACAAAAAAACCCAAAACAAGUAUUGGAAGGUGGAUUCUAUAAUAUUAGAAUAGAAAGCUCUCUAGAUGUGAUUGUUAUUACUACCAUUAGGCGUAGUUGUUAAAAGCAAUCGCCUAUUGCACCUAGGCCUAUUUUUCAGGUCAGGCGAGGCGAGGCCAGGCAGUUGCACUUUAAGUCGAGGAAAUUGCGCUUUAAUUCUCCAGGUGAUGGUUCAGACGCACAUUCCGGCGAGAUUCCUAGAUUCUAGAGAGCUUCCGGCCAAAUUCUCUAAAUUCUGACAAGAUUCUAGCCAAAUUUCUACUUUUUAUUCAAGGAAACCUACUUUUCUACCCUAAUACUUAGGUCCUCGCUUUUUUUGCGCUUUGCGCCUAGGCCCCAGGCGAGACCUAUGCGCCUUGAGUGCGCCUAGCGCCUUUAAUAACUAUGGAGUUAAGCCAUCUUGCUUGUGAAGCCUUUGCAGUCGAUGUAACAAAUUCACCAAGAACACGAUAACUAGACGGGUCUGUGGGACACUUCCCAAGCCCGAUUAAACUGGCCCGUUUGGCCCCAAAACCCGAAACUCUAAUAACAAUAGACUGUCCGGCCAUUCCAAUGAAAGCUUCCUCUUCACAUACUUCGGACAACAAUCCACCCAGUUUAGAAUCAAGUUUUUUAAAGACAUCGAAAUGGACAGCGACGAUCUAAUUCCAGGAUACCUUAUACAUGAAAGUUAUGAAGACACACCGAAAGCUUUUGAUCAAUCAGAUCAUUCUGCAAAAGAAAUCACAGAAAGUAAUGGUUUUAAUUUAAUUUAAUUUUUUCAUCAAAAUUUGCACUCCUUUAUUUUUAAACAAAUUUUCAAGAUGUUUAGAACUUGCCGAUGGGGAAAAGUGGAUGGAUGUUAUUUUUCUGCUCAAAGAGUCAUUACCUGCCGUACUAAAUAGCAAGACUGGUUUGCUUUUUUAUCUGCUGAGCGAUGAGUUUGUUAAGAUUUUAACAAAAAGCCGGUGAGCACGAGUUAUUGUAAUGUUUUUUAUAGAACUCAAAAUUGAAAUAGUUGGAAAUUGAAAGGUUCACCAAGUUAGAGUUUUUGUUGUAUUUAUUCUGUAUUGCUUUUCUGGUUCAAUUGGUGGCAUCAACGAAGCACUUGAGUUUGCUCAGAAACACUUCGCACCUUUUCAAGAGUUGGGAGCCCACGAAACUAUGAUUAAGGAAUACAUGAUUUUAUUUGGACAUGAAGAUCCUAAUCAGAUACAUCCACAACCUUUUCUACUUACGUUGGAGUACCAAAAGCUUGUUGCAGACAAAUUGAGAGCGACAAUUAAGUGUCUGUAUAUAAAAUCUCUGUAGACAAAUGCUUAUUUUCUUUUGGUGUUUUUUCCUUUAAA